rnacentral:rRNA from 1 species
AUUGAACGCUGGCGGCAGGCUUAACACAUGCAAGUCGAGCGAGCGGCGGACGGGUGAGCAAUGUCUGGGAAACUGCCUGAUGGAUGGGGAUAACCCCUGGACACGGUAGCUAAUACCGCAUACCAUCAGAUGUGCCCAGAUGGGAUUAGCUAGUAGGUGGGGUAAUGGCUCAACUAGGCGACGAUCCCUAGCUGGUCUGAGAGGAUAACCAGACAAACUGGAACUGCGACACGGUCCAAAGUCCUACGGGAGGCAGCAGUGGGGAAUAUUGCACAAUGGGCGCAAGCCUGAUGCAGCCAUGCCGCGUGUGUGAAGAAGGCCUUCGGGUGGUAAAGCACUUUCAGCGAGGAGGCGUUACUCGCAGAAGAAGCACCGGCUAACUCCGUGCCAGCCGCCGCGGUAAUUC